GUGGAGAGGAAAAACUCUCUUUUAACAGGAAGAAACCUCCAGCAGAACCAGGCUCAGUAUGCACUAUGAAAUGACUGAAGUCCUUAGCGAUGACAAACAUGACAAUUAGUUUCCUUCAGAACGGAUUUGAACAAUAACAUUUGGUCUGACAAAGCAAUACAUGUAAUUAGUUCAGCUCAGUGAUCUCCUGCUAUAGUUUCUUCUGAAGCUCUUUGACUUGAGACACUUUAGUUUCCUGUUGGGAUGUGAUCUGCUGCUUCACAUCAGAGCCUUCAUGGUGAGAAGUGGA